GUGUGGUCAAUUUUUUGCCAUCUUGACUGAUCCUAUUUCUUAUUGUUCUUGUAAUUGUUAUAUGUUUAAGAUUCUCUCAUUCUUCGAUAGUCUUGAAGAAAGUUAAUGUCUUAACAAUUGACAUUGAAGGAGCAAUAACUUGUUGUUAGGUUGUCAAAUUUUAUGACAAUUCUUCAGAGAAAACCCUCACUUGCUGGACAUUAUUUCCC
rnacentral:lncRNA from 1 species